UACAGAGGGGGCAAGCGUUAUUCGGAAUUAUUGGGCGUAAAGGGCGCGUAGGCGGCGAUUCAAGUGACGGGUGAAAUCCCUCGGCUUAACCGAGGAACUGCCUGUCAGACUGGGUUGCUUGAGACCGGGAGAGGCGAGUGGAAUUCCCAGUGUAGCGGUGAAAUGCGUAGAUAUCAGGAGGAACACCGGCGGCGAAGGCGGCCCUCUGGAUCGUUGCUGACGCUGAGACGCGAAAGCGUGGGGAGCAAACAGG
rnacentral:rRNA from 1 species